GUAAUUUGUCCCUACUGUCUCCCCGUACCUAUGAUCCAAUAGCUCCUCCCCUCUUCUUAAUAGCUCCUCCCCUCUUCUUCUGUGUAGUUGAUUCUCCAUUUUGAGUCUGUUCAGCUCUCUGCAUAUCAGCAUCUUUUUUCACCUGCUGUAAGAAGUAUUUACAAGAUUUUGUGGAUUAAAGCAUCUAGAAUCUUAUCUACGCUUCUUCAGUCGAGUUGAACGCUGUCUGGGAGAUAUCUUGAUCCACAUAAGAAGGAGCCUUCGAAAUGGGACAGCCUAGUUGCACCGCUGUGAUGUAAUCAGCCUUCAACUGUAGCCUCCAAAGGAUGCAGCCUCUGAAUAAUGACACACUGGUAGUCUCACUUCCUGCUCUAAAAAGCAGGGGUGUGGCUAAAAUAAGACUCUGGCUAUGGUCGCAUCUGAACCUUUUUUUAAUAAAGAUAUUUCUACUAAA